GAUGAACGCUAGCGGCAGGCUUAACACAUGCAAGUCGAGGGGCAGCGGGGAGUAGCAAUACUCCGCCGGCGACCGGCGCACGGGUGCGUAACGCGUAUGCAACCUACCUUUAACAGGGGCAUAACACUGAGAAAUUGGUACUAAUUCCCCAUAACAUUCGAGAAGGCAUCUUCUUGGGUUAAAAACUCCGGUGGUUAAAGAUGGGCAUGCGUUGUAUUAGCUAGUUGGUGAGGUAACGGCUCACCAAGGCAACGAUACAUAGGGGGACUGAGAGGUUAACCCCCCACAUUGGUACUGAGACACGGACCAAACUCCUACGGGAGGCAGCAGUGAGGAAUAUUGGUCAAUGGACGCAAGUCUGAACCAGCCAUGCCGCGUGCAGGAAGACGGCUCUAUGAGUUGUAAACUGCUUUUGUACUAGGGUAAACGCUUCUACGUGUAGGAGCCGAAAGUAUAGUAC
rnacentral:rRNA from 1 species